rnacentral:rRNA from 1 species
GACGAACGCUGGCGGCGUGCUUAAUACAUGCAAGUCGAGCGAGGCCCAUCCAGUGGCAACACUGGGGAAGGCCGAGCGGCGAACGGGUGAGUAACACGUGAGCAACCUGCCCCGAAGUCUGGAAUAACAUCGGGAAACCGGUGCUAUUACCGGAUUGCCCCACCUGACCGCAUGAUCGGGUGAGGAAAGAUCUAUCGCUUCGGGAGGGGCUCGCGGCCUAUCAGCUAGNGGCGGGGUAACGGCCACCAAGGCGUCGACGGGUAGCUGGUCUGAGAGGACGACCAGCCACACUGGGACUGAGACACGGCCCAGACUCCUACGGGAGGCAGCAGUAGGGAAUCUUGCGCAAUGGGCGAAAGCCUGACGCAGCAACGCCGCGU